AGUGAACGCUGGCGGUAGGUCUAACACAUGCAAGUCGAACGGCAGCACAGUAAGAGCUUGCUCUUACGGGUGGCGAGUGGCGGACGGGUGAGGAAUACAUCGGAAUCUACUUUUUCGUGGGGGAUAACGUAGGGAAACUUACGCUAAUACCGCAUACGACCUACGGGUGAAAGCAGGGGAUCUUCGGACCUUGCGCGAUUGAAUGAGCCGAUGUCGGAUUAGCUAGUUGGCGGGGUAAAGGCCCACCAAGGCGACGAUCCGUAGCUGGUCUGAGAGGAUGAUCAGCCACACUGUAACUGAGACACGUUCCAGACUCCUACGGGAGGCAGCAGUGGGGAAUAUUGGACAAUGGGCGCAAGCCUGAUCCAGCCAUACCGCGUAGGUGAAGAAGGCCUUCGGGUUGUAAAGCCCUUUUGUUGGGAAAGAAAAGCAGCAGGUUAAUACCCCGCUGUUCUGACGGUACCCAAAGAAUAAGCACCGGCUAACUUCGUG
rnacentral:rRNA from 1 species